rnacentral:tRNA from 1 species
GCCAGUGUGGUGUAGUGGUUUGAGUGCUGAACUAUAAUUCGGGAGACCAGGGUUCGAAUCCCAGCUUGGCCA